CUUCAUACUGCAAAACUGAUUGCAGCAAACCCUCAGCUAUGCCCACAUGAGAUGUAACCUCAUCCAUGCACAGUUUUGGGACAAGUGACUUCCAGAUAAGGGGCAUCAUUGAGGAUAGACUGGAUUCCACCCUGCACCACUAUACCUCUUAUGAUGACAGCUACGAAACCUGCCACCAUAAUUACUAUCUGGAAUGCAUCUGUCCAGAUUACA